CGCACGGAGCUCCAAUCUGUGAGCGGUGCGGUGAAGAAUGGAGCAGCUGAUCACUGGUCAAUAGCGUUGGAGCUUGUGUUUAGCCCAAAGACGCAGAUACUAAAGUUUGCUCAGACUUUGUGUGACAGAGGAGAGAGGAUGUGUUUCUGCUGAUUAACAAAGAGAGCAGCCGCUGCCGCGAUCCCUGAGCUGCGGUGUGUUGACUCGCCCCACUGGCGUAAGUGCGUGCCGUGGAGAACUGCAGGAAUACACGCCUCAGUGGCGAUGCGCGUGCACGCCCCACAGUCCCCAUGGUUUCUCCACAAAAUAAAACCAAACGGGCUUAGGUAUUGAAUUAAAAAAAGUAACAAAAACAGAAGUUGUUGAUUUUGUUUGAUUUCUUAAUCUUUAAACAUUUUCUAUGUGUUUUACAACGGCAAAAGGAAAUAAGCACGCUCCGCUUAAAACAUCCCCCGCCUUAUAUAUAGUGCCUCUAAGUGCAAGAAAUAAUGUAUACUGGCUGAUACACCUACAAAAUGAUACGUCUUCACUACAAUGGAAACAAUCAGGUCAAGGUCGUACACCAAAAAAGGCAGAUCUACAUUAUGCACAGGUGGCGUUGGUGCAAUAUGCAUGAAAUCCUUCAGGUAGUUUCUGACAUAUGCUCCAGAAACGGAAUCAAAAACAUAUUUGAUGUGCCUCACUAUGACCUUGAAAAUCAGGUCAAGGUCAUACACCCCAAAAGGCACAUCUAUACUACAUAGAGAUGGCCUGGGUGCAAUAUGAAUGAAAUCCCUCAAGUAGUUUCUGAGAUAUGCUCCAGAAACGAAAUGCGGAUGGACGGACGGAUGGACGUGCCCAUGUCAAAAUCCCCCUUCGUGCCUACGGCCGGCGGGGGAUUAAAAGGAAACAGCUAUUUAGUUUGCUGGAUUUUAUUUUGAAAGGAAAAAAAAUCAAAGAUCAAUCCAUACGGAUUUGUCCCAUUAUUCUCCUCAGAACAUCUGUUUAGUUAAUUAUGCACAAACUGAAUGUAGCUUAGGUGACAUGAACUUUUUUUAUUUGAGGACAUAUAGGAUGUUUGUAAUAAUGAGUUAAAUAGCUCUCAGCAGAUUUUCUGACCUUAUGCAUCUGAAUGAUGUCUAGCCACAAACAAAGUCUCCAAUCUUAAGCAAAUAUUAGUAAGAACAGAACGAACGUAUGGGUUGUGUGAAAUGAAUAAUGGAUAGAUAGUUAAAUAAGAAUGUUCUUAGCCUGCUUUUCACCGUUUUUUCUUCCCAAAAUAUAGAUAAAAAAUAGAAACAUUUAAAUUGAAAGCCAACUGAACAAAUUAUACAGUGAAUACAUUUUUUCCCCUUACCAAAAACAAACAAAAUGUGUGUCAGUUCAAAUUGAAAAUCAAAUGAUUUAAACUAAUCACACAGAUUAUUGCGUUGUAUCAAAUGAGCAGUUACUAACGUGUAUGUGUGGUUAUGUGCUACAGAGGGCUUCUUAAUCACAUCUGUGUGAGAAAUGGGCUGACUCCAGAGGAAAAGGCCAGAGUAGAAGUUCUUCAGCAUGAGCAGUCCGUUGCCACCAGGGGCCUGUUUCACGAAGCAGGUUUUACAAACUCUGAGUUUCUUCCACAACUCUGAGUUGAUCUGCUCUGAGAUAGAAAACUCUGAGUUUUCGGUUUCACAACGGCUGAUUUGAGUUGAGUUAAUCAACUCGGAGUAGUUUGACCCGGAGUUACGCGCGUGCACCGCAACUCUGAAAAGACAGCAUCAAUGGAACCCCGAUUCGACGAGUCACCAUGGAAACGGGGAAGUGAAAGGCUGCGUUUUUGAACGGGAAGUUUUUAACGCGCUCAUCUGGCGAGUUUGAACACGUUUUUAGAAAGAAGUGCAACACCGCUGCAGCUGUAAAAGAGAGAGAGACGGCGUGGAGAACAGCCCGGAUCAAUGCAGCAUGGCUGGACAGCAGCAGGAUGGUUCCUCAGCUUCCACUGCACAGACUGACACAGAUGGAUGUUCAGGAAACACCAGAGCUUCAUUCUGUGGAAUUCAUGUGCAACUGUAUAACUGAAUGUCCUCUAUGUAUUCCCAGUUAUCAGUAAAACAGAUUUACAAACUGCAUUUGCUGAGAAAAAUCCAAAAACAGAUUAGGAGGGCAGAUCUGGAAAUUGAAAUACUGGAGCACAAGUUAGAGGUGGUGAUGGUCACAGGUGAAUUAUGUUAACUACUGGAACAUGAACUGAACUAUCUGUUUAUUUGUAGGAAAUAAAGAAGAGCAAAUGAAA